GCAUCUCCGAGUCAUUUUAAACGAGUCAAAACUUUCAACAACGGAUCUCUUGGUUCUGGCAUCGAUGAGGAACGCAGCGAAAUGCGAUAAGUAAUGUGAAUUGCAGAAUUCAGUGAAUCAUCGAAUCUUUGAACGCACAUUGCGCCCGCCAGUAUCCUGGCGGGCAUGCCUGUUCGAGCGUCAUUUCAACCCUCAGGCUCUGCCUGGCGUUGGGGUCCUGCGAUGCAGCCCCCUAAAGACAGCGGCGAGCACGCCCCGAAGCUGAACGUAGUAAUACAUCUCGUUCUGGUGCAGGGCGUCCUCGGCCGGAAAACACUUCUAUGGUUGACCUCGGAUCAGGUAGGAAUACCCGCUGAACUUAAGCAUAUCAAUAA
rnacentral:rRNA from 1 species